CCUGUGAGGGUUGCUGGAGGUAUCAGAAGUGCGAAUGCUGACAUAAGUAACGAUAAAGCGGGUGAAAAGCCCGCUCGCCGGAAGACCAAGGGUUCCUGUCCAACGUUAAUCGGGGCAGGGUGAGUCGACCCCUAAGGCGAGGCCGAAAGGCGUAGUCGAUGGGAAACAGGUUAAUAUUCCUGUACCUGGUGUUACUGCGAAGGGGGGACGGAGAAGGCUAUGUUGGCCGGGCGACGGUUGUCCCGGUUUAAGCGUGCAGGUGUGUGUUCCAGGAAAAUCCGGUUCACUUUAACACUGAGGCGUGACGACGAGGCACUACGGUGCUGAAGCAACAAAUGCCCUGCUUCCAGGAAAAGCCUCUAAGCCUCAGGUAACAUCAGAUCGUACCCGAAACCGACACAGGUGGUCAGGUAGAGAAUACCAAGGCGCUUGAGAGAACCCGGGUGAAGGAACUAGGCAAAAUGGUGCCGUAACUUCGGGAGAAGGCACGCUGACACGUAGGUGAAGCGGUUUACCCGUGAAGCCGAAGUCAGUCGAAGAUACCAGCUGGCUGCAACUGUUUAUUAAAAACACAGCACUGUGCAAACACGAAAGUGGACGUAUACGGUGUGACGCCUGCCCGGUGCCGGAAGGUUAAUUGAUGGGGUCAGCGCAAGCGAAGCUCCUGAUCGAAGCCCCGGUAAACGGCGGCCGUAACUAUAACGGUCCUAAGGUAGCGAAAUUCCUUGUCGGGUAAGUUCCGACCUGCACGAAUGGCGUAAUGAUGGCCAGGCUGUCUCCACCCGGGACUCAGUGAAAUUGAACUCGCUGUGAAGAUGCAGUGUACCCGCGGCAAGACGGAAAGACCCCGUGAACCUUUACUAUAGCUUGACACUGAACACUGGUCCUUGAUGUGCAGGAUAGGUGGGAGGCUUUGAAGUGUGGACGCCAGUCUGCAUGGAGCCGUCCUUGAAAUACCACCCUUUAAUGGCUGGUGUUCUAACGUAGACCCGUGAACCGGGUUGCGGACAGUGUCUGGUGGGUAGUUUGACUGGGGCGGUCUCCUCCUAAAGCGUAACGGAGGAGCACGAAGGUUGGCUAAUCCUGGUCGGACAUCAGGAGGUUAGUGCAAUGGCAUAAGCCAGCUUGACUGCGAGCGUGACGGCGCGAGCAGGUGCGAAAGCAGGUCAUAGUGAUCCGGUGGUUCUGAAUGGAAGGGCCAUCGCUCAACGGAUAAAAGGUACUCCGGGGAUAACAGGCUGAUACCGCCCAAGAGUUCAUAUCGACGGCGGUGUUUGGCACCUCGAUGUCGGCUCAUCACAUCCUGGGGCUGAAGUAGGUCCCAAGGGUAUGGCUGUUCGCCAUUUAAAGUGGUACGCGAGCUGGGUUUAGAACGUCGUGAGACAGUUCGGUCCCUAUCUGCCGUGGGCGCUGGAGAACUGAGGGGGGCUGCUCCUAGUACGAGAGGACCGGAGUGGACGCAUCACUGGUGUUCGGGUUGUCAUGCCAAUGGCACUGCCCGGUAGCUAAAUGCGGAAGAGAUAAGUGCUGAAAGCAUCUAAGCACGAAACUUGCCCCGAGAUGAGUUCUCCCUGAGACUACAAGUCUCCUGAAGGAACGUUGAAGACGACGACGUUGAUAGGCCGGGUGUGUAAGCGCAGCGAUGCGUUGAGCUAACCGGUACUAAUGAACCGUGAGGCUUAACCUUACA
rnacentral:rRNA from 4 species